UACAGAGGUCCCAAGCGUUGUUCGGAUUCACUGGGCGUAAAGGGUGCGUAGGCGGUCGGGUAAGUCUGGGGUGAAAUCUUUCGGCUCAACCGGAAACGUGCCCCGGAUACGGAUCGGCUGGAGGGAGGUAGGGGUCGACGGAACUUCCGGUGGAGCGGUGAAAUGCGUUGAUAUCGGAAGGAACGCCGGUGGCGAAAGCGAUCCGCUGGCCCUCUACUGACGCUGAGGCGCGAAAGCCAGGGGAGCAAACGGG
rnacentral:rRNA from 1 species